AAGACCCCAAUGCGUCGCGGAUGCGGCGUC
rnacentral:rRNA from 1 species